rnacentral:rRNA from 1 species
UACGGAGGAUGCGAGCGUUAUCCGGAUUUAUUGGGUUUAAAGGGUGCGUAGGCGGUAUUUUAAGUUAGUGGUAAAACGUCGGGGCUUCACCUUGAUUGGCCAUUAAAACUGGAGUACUAGAGUACAGACGGGGUAGGCGGAAUAAGUUAAGUAGCGGUGAAAUGCUUAGAUAUAACUUAGAACCCCGAUAGCGAAGGCAGCUUACCAGACUGUUACUGACGCUGAAGCACGAGAGCGUGGGUAGCGAACAGG